GCUGUCAACAUGCCACUGGCUGAGUCAGCAGCCGGAGAGGCGGGGUGAAAAGAAAUUGACCAGUCCAGACUCACACCCUUCUGCAUCGCAAAGGGGAUGGUGCUCUCUCUGCACCUCCAAAUGGGGCAAGCUGGGGCUUGUACACUUUGAUCUGGCCAAGAGGAGUCUCCGCCGGUUUAUUUUUCGGCAUGUAGAGGAUUAUUGGGGAAUUGCUGCUCCGCCAGCCAGGUGAGUAUUGGCACCAGCGAUGAGCCAGAUCCCCGGCUGGUGUAGACAGACCUAAGUGGGGCUACACCGGAUUGACACGGCAGCUGGGGAGCUCAUGGAGCUGGGGAGAUGGAAUGUUGAUUUUGAUUAUGCCACUGAAAGCGCUGGUUGUUCGUCUGGAUGAAGAGGACAAUGAGGGGGGGACCUGCCCUGGUUGCUACAUCCCGGAUUCCGGAGCCCAUGGGAAGCGCGGAGUGGGAAGGAGGCCAGGCUGGUGCCUCUGCCUGGAAUUGGCGCCCUGAGUCUGACACAGAGACACCCAGCCGGAGAAGCACUGAGGAUGCUGGGACCAGGGAGCCAUGGAGCUUGCCGGUAAGAGGGGGAAGGAAAUUGCUUUCUUCCUGGGCCGUCUUUGAGUUGCUACACAGAGAACACUGGAUCUGCAGCUGACCAUAAGAAGAACCAGAGCGUGAAAGCUUACAGAGAAAUCAACAAUGCAAGAGCCUAGUUCGAUCCCAUCUUGUCACCCUCCAAGCAAUGCAAGACUGUUCCCUAUAGUUGAUUCUCCAGGGCUUCGCCCAGUCCCAUUUAAGCCAUUCCACUAAUGGGGUUUCUAUUGCUUCCCUGGGGGAGAAUGUGCCACAGCCUGAUGGAUCACCUCACUGUUAGGAAAUUUUCCCUUUUGCUCAAUCUCACCCCUCCAAGCACUCCCACCCCCUGAGUCUUAUCGCUUGUUCCCAUGACUCCCGUACAUGCUGUUCACCCACGUUACACGUUUUCCUCUCCAUCUCAUUAGUCAAAUGAUCCACGAACCAGGGGAAGAUCGUUGCUGCUCACCCACCUAAGUUGCAUGCAGGGAUGGAUCCAGUAGGCAUGCUCUGACCAGGCCUACCAGCUCAGACCCCCCCCCUUAGAAUGCUCCCCUGGGAUGUGGAAGAUGUAGGUUCAAUUCCCACCUCUGCCCAAGGGGGAGGAAAAGAUUUGAACAGGGUUUCCCCGCCACUCAGGUGAUUGCACUGAGCUAUGGGAUAUGCUGAUGUGGCGUUUCCCCUGAAGUUGUUCCACUGUGGAUAAAUAACUAAAGAAUCAUUGGGGCAGAGAGUGAAUAAGAGAGCAAAUGACUCUAAAGCUUCAUCAUUAGUACACCCCCCCAAGAAGCUGUAGGUCCAGUCCCCCUGCUCCAAUUCUUUAUACAAAGUGGAGCUGAGUCUGCAGCCCCUAAGCAUUACAGGGUUUUUUUUAAAGAAGCCUGCAGCAUUGAUGGAAGCAAAUAAAACCUCCCAAACAA